CGAGGCUGGACCGCGGGCUGGGAGGCGGGGUUAAAGGAAACGCUACUGUGCCUGCUCUAUGGGCCCAAUGGAUGUGGAAGAACCUCGGAUGACCCGGUGGCCAGAAUUAAUGCAGAUUUGAAGUUGCAACCCAGGACUUCAUAGUUCAGCCAUCAACCACUGUUCCACAAGACUGGUCUAGUGUGUGUGUGGGGCCAUGUGUCGGCCACAGAUACAGACAGAUCGAUACUGGGACUUGUCAGCGGGGAGAUUUCGAUCAGUCCACACUCCUAAAUCCUCAGCCCCCCCAUCCACGACAGUCACACCCCAUAUCCCCCUGCACUGAGAAAAGAAUAGCAGGCUGUCAAUAGACCCUUCCACUACACGCUCUAACACACACACACACACACACACACUAGUACUGUAAUAGUAGCCACGUCGAUCAUGUCCAUGCAGAGAUCUUCAAUGUGUCACACAUGUACUAGCCUUGCUUUCAGUGCAGAGUAAAAACC